rnacentral:rRNA from 1 species
UACGAAGGGUGCGAGCGUUAAUCGGAAUUACUGGGCGUAAAGCGUGCGUAGACGGCCUGUUAAGUCGGAUGUGAAAGCCCCGGGCUCAACCUGGGAAUGGCAUCCGAUACUGAUGGGCUGGAGUGCGGUAGAGGAGAGCGGAAUUCCCGGUGUAGCGGUGAAAUGCGUAGAGAUCGGGAGGAACAUCCGUGGCGAAGGCGGCUCUCUGGACCAGCACUGACGUUGAGGCACGAAAGCGUGGGGAGCAAACAGGAUUAGAAACCCUGGUAGUCC